rnacentral:rRNA from 1 species
UACGAAGGGGGCUAGCGUUGCUCGGAAUCACUGGGCGUAAAGCGCACGUAGGCGGCUUCUUAAGUCAGGGGUGAAAUCCUGGAGCUCAACUCCAGAACUGCCCUUGAUACUGAGGAGCUCGAGUCCGGAAGAGGUGAGUGGAACUCCGAGUGUAGAGGUGAAAUUCGUAGAUAUUCGGAAGAACACCAGUGGCGAAGGCGGCUCACUGGUCCGGUACUGACGCUGAGGUGCGAAAGCGUGGGAGCA